UACGUAGGGGGCAAGCGUUGUCCGGAUUUAUUGGGCGUAAAGAGCGUGUAGGCGGCCAAGCAGGUCCGCUGUGAAAACUCGAGGCUCAACCUCGAGACGUCGGUGGAAACCGUUUGGCUAGAGUCCGGAAGAGGAGAGUGGAAUUCCUGGUGUAGCGGUGAGAUGCGCAGAUAUCAGGAGGAACACCAAUUGCGAAGGCAGCUCGCUGGGACGUAACUGACGCUGAGACGCGAAAGCGUGGGGAGCAAACAGG
rnacentral:rRNA from 1 species